rnacentral:rRNA from 1 species
GACGAACGCUGGCGGCGUGCUUAACACAUGCAAGUCGAACGGAAAGGCCCUGCUUUUGUGGGGUGCUCGAGUGGCGAACGGGUGAGUAACACGUGAGUAACCUGCCCUUGACUUUGGGAUAACUUCAGGAAACUGGGGCUAAUACCGGAUAGGAGCUCCUGCUGCAUGGUGGGGGUUGGAAAGUUUCGGCUGUUGGGGAUGGACUCGCGGCUUAUCAGCUUGUUGGUGGGGUAGUGGCUUACCAAGGCUUUGACGGGUAGCCGGCCUGAGAGGGGGACCGGCCACAAUGGGACUGAGAUACGGCCCAGACUCCUACGGGCGGCAGUGGUGGAGAGUAUUGCACAAUGGGCGGGAGCCUGAUGCAGCAACGCCGCGUGCGGGAUGACGGCCUUCGGGUUGUAAACCGCUUUCGCCUGUGACGAAGCGUGAGUGACGGUAAUGGGUAAAGAAGCACCGGCUAACUACGUG